UCUAACGUUUGGCCAUUCGUUUUAUUUGAAAUUUUUUUGCGAUUAAUAUUUUUAUUAUUACUAGAUGAUAAAAUAUGAAUAAUACUUUAUACGUGACUAAUUUUUUUAGGUUUUUGCAUAAAUUUUUCAAAUAAGACGAAUGAUCAAACGUUAGACACGGAAA
rnacentral:pre_miRNA from 1 species